CCAUGCAUUACUGGGCAGGUCUCCCUUGGCAGUGGCCGAUCGAGCUGAUCAAACCACGCAAAAGCCACUGCCAAAGGAGACUUGCCCAGCAAUGCAGAU
rnacentral:pre_miRNA from 17 species